UGGAAAGUUGAGGUAAUGCGAGGACAAUAGUUGCAGUAUGGCUGGUACGAAAAGAAAGAAGCGUGAUUCAAGGCAGAGAAAGCAAAAAAGGCGAAAACUUCUGUUCGAGGUCGUUCGAGGUUAUAGAGCGUGACCCCAGCGAUAAUACACCGAAGACUGAAUUGAUGUCAAUUAAUGACAAUCGAUGACAAUUGUAUUGAAGAAAUUUUGGAAUGGUUAUCGUUAUCCGAUUUGGUUAGCCUGAGCACAACGUGCAAACGAAUGAAAGAUGUUGUGAGCCGAUACUUCGGACGUAAAUAUCCGACGAAAAGGAUCACGAUAAAAAUCGAUAAAAAUGGACAGUCAUUUACGGGGGAGAAUCGGGGAGAAUUGAAUAUUAGCCCAGAGAAUUGUACGUACAACGAUUCCGUGAAUAUUUCCAAAAUAUUGCAAUCCGAGGUCGACAGCCGGUUAUUUUCCGACACGUUGGAUCUUUCUGCAACAAAACACCGAAAAAACUCCGUAUCCUCGAAGCAAAAGCCUUAACCGAAAUGCAUGGCAGAUGCAUUGAAGACUUAUUGAAAAAUGUCGAAAUUGUUGAGUUUGAAGAUUGUUCAUUUGCCACCGACUUCUACGAUUGUUUCUUGAAAUACUGCACAAAUUUGAAACCGUUUGAAACAGUUGAUCACCAGUGCCGGCAUCAAAUUU